UACGUAGGGCGCAAGCGUUGUCCGGAAUUAUUGGGCGUAAAGAGCUCGUAGGCGGCCUGUUGCGUCCGCUGUGAAAUCCCCCGGGCUCAACCUGGGAAUGGCAUUUGGGACUGCAAGGCUGGAGUGCGGCAGAGGAGACUGGAAUUCCUGGUGUAGCAGUGAAAUGCGUAGAUAUCAGGAGGAACACCAAAGGCGAAGGCAGUGUCCUGGGGAGUACCUGACGCUCAGGUGCGAAAGCCAGGGGAGCGAACGGG
rnacentral:rRNA from 1 species